rnacentral:rRNA from 1 species
AUGGAUACCGAAUGGGAACUAAAAUUCCCUCUGGUAACCGUGCGAGCCCUAGAGCGUAUCGAGGCCUUAUCGGAUCAUGCACCCAUCAUUCUGGAUUCUAACUCUACGAACCCAGCCACCCGACGCCCUUUCAAAUUUGAAUUGGGAUGGCUGAAUAGGGAUGGAUUCGUAGACAUGAUCAAGAAUGUUUGGGAGAGGCCCGCUGUUGGUCGUACACCUAUUCAAUGA